rnacentral:rRNA from 1 species
GACAGAGGUGCCAAGCGUUAGGCGGAAUCACUGGGCUUAAAGCGUGUGUAGGUGGAUUUGUAAGUACCUUGUGAAAUCCCACGGCUCAACCGUGGAACUGCUUGGUAUACUGCGAAUCUUGAGCCAAUUAGGGGCUACCGGAACAAAUGGUGGAGCGGUGAAAUGCGCAGAUAUCAGGAGGAACACCGGUGGCGAAGGCGGAUCUCUGGGCCUUACCUGACGCUCAGGCGCGAAAGCUAGGGGAGCGAACUGG